GGAGUGGGCCGGGUGGCCGCGGCCGGUUCGCCGGUCGAGGAAAGUCCGGACUCCACAGGGCAGGACGCUGGGGAAAAUCCCAGGCGGGGUGACCCGUGGCCAGCGCAACAGAAAGCACACCGCCGAUGGGUGGUUCGCCACCACAGGUAAGGGUGAAACGGUGAGGUAAGAGCUCACCAGCGUCCCCGGUGACGGGGGCGGCUAUGCAAGCCCCGUUCGGAGCAAGACCAAGCAGGGGAGAUGGGUGGCCCGCCCGUUCGAUCCCCGGGUAGGUCGCACGAGGCGAACGGCAACGUUCGUCCCAGAUGGAUGGUCACCACCUCC
rnacentral:RNase_P_RNA from 1 species